UACGUAGGGUGCAAGCGUUGUCCGGAAUUAUUGGGCGUAAAGAGCUCGUAGGCGGUUUGUCGCGUCGGCUGUGAAAACCUGGGGCUCAACCCCGGGCCUGCAGCCGAUACGGGCAAACUAGAAUUCGGUAGGGGAGACUGGAAUUCCUGGUGUAGCGGUGAAAUGCGCAGAUAUCAGGAAGAACACCCGUGGCGAAGGCGGCUCUCUGGGACGGUACUGACGCUGAGGCGCGAAAGCGUGGGGAGCGAACAGG
rnacentral:rRNA from 1 species